rfam:Triticum aestivum genome assembly, contig: Triticum_aestivum_CS42_TGACv1_scaffold_592097_7BS
CAACUACUCCCUCUGUCCCAAAUUUGUUGUCUUAUAUUUGUCUAGAUAUGGAUGUAUCUAAUACUAAAAUGUGACUUGAUACAUCCAUAUCUAGACAGAUCUAAGACAAGAAUUUUGGGACGGAGAGAGUACUUU